CAGUAGGGAAUUUUCCACAAUGGACGAAAGUCUGAUGGAGCAACGCCGCGUGCAGGAUGAAGGCCUUAGGGUCGUAAACUGCUUUUGUGAGUGAAGACUUCCGACGGUAACUCACGAAUAAGGGUCGGCUAACUACGUGCCAGCAGCCGCGGUCAUACGUAGGACCCAAGCGUUAUCCGGAAUUACUGGGCGUAAAGAGUUGCGUAGGUGGCAGAGUAAGUAAGGAGUGAAAGCGUUCGGCUCAACCGAAUAUACAUUUCUUAAACUGCUCAGCUAGAGAACGAGAGAGGUAGAUGGAAUUCCCAGUGUAGGAGUGAAAUCCGUAGAUAUUGGGAGGAACACCGAUGGCGUAGGCAGUCUACUGGCUCGUUUCUGACACUAAGGCACGAAAGCGUGGGGAGCAAACAGGAUUAGA
rnacentral:rRNA from 1 species